CAGACUGGGCUGCAGCCCUCCUUGCUCUGCUGCUCUCCCCGUACCCGACAGCUCCUUGCUCCGCGGCACUCUCACGCAGGGCACAGCCUCAGCCAGGGAAACCAGAGGAGGCUCAAACUAAAACAUCUGCAAGCUGGGGGGCACUUAGGGGACUUCCUUAACAGCCCCGCUGCAAACUGCAAGGCGGUGGCUCGCUUGGAUUAGGAACCAGCUCAGAGUGAGUUCAUGCAGAAAGAGAAGCACACAGAAAAUCACCUGCUUCAAGCUCUCCACAGAUUCUGGGGAUUAACCAUGGGCAUCAUCCUCAGCAUUUCCUUCUGGCUGGUUUAAGGAGUAUCUUGUUCAACUUGCUGUUUGCUCUGAAUCUCGUUUUCCAACAUCCAUACUCUAUAAGGACACCUGUACCAGUGCUUAUCACUUUGUCAUCUCAAAGAGAGAGAAGCUUUAACAGAAACAAUGAAGCCAAACUCCUUGAACUGUAGUGACAGAAAUAUCUGGAUGCUGACCCUGUGUUUUGUGACUCGCACCUCUUUGUAGCUUUGAGAAGUAAACUCAUUAGAUUACCUCUGUCUCACAUUGUCAAGACAACAGCCAAGAUAGCUAAGUUAUUCUGUCUUCAUGUAAAUGCCUUGCUGCAAGAAAGAAAGCAAAACUAUGCAGAUCAUUUGGGAAAAGUACCUGUUUGGCAGGGCAAUGCACUUUACCAUUAUGAAGAAAUGGGUGCGGAGAGAAGAAUACAUACUACAUUUAAUCACUCUUCCCCCUCUUCUCCUGCCUAUCUGUAGCUGGUCCAGCUGAGAAAAUUGCACAGACACGUUGCUGAUAGUAAUGUAUUAAUAAAAUACCCUGUGAUGAAUUACUAUAAGUUCAUAGUUCAAUAAGAUCCCUAGUUCCCCAUGUAAACUGUAUUUACUGGAAUCUCGUAUUUCUUGCUUGCUGUUUUCUAUAAAAUUAUAUGAAGUGAUAGUGAUGGGAUUAGCUAAAAAGCAGUGUCAGCCCUUCACCUCCCCUGUAAUAAGUGUAGGAUGCUUCCCUCCAGGGACUAGAUCACCUUUUGCUUGACAGAACAACACUGGCAGUUCCUAAAUUAUUGGCAAAAAGCCCCCUCAGCAAGAUCAAAUAUUUACAUCUCUAUGUCCUUUUAAAGAGCAUUGAAAAUAUUAUAUGGCCCUUUGAGGAUGCUUCCUGCAAAAGAAAUCAGAAGGAUCUAUACACAAUUAUUCAAGCGAACUUCUUUCUUCUUUUGGAUAAACCGGAGAGCAUUUCUGGGAACUUCAACAGAGAUGACAAUUUUUUUUCCUAUGAUUAAUUCAGUAAGGGGUCAUGGAUAUGGCAGAGAGUGAGUGAGCACUGAUGACUGUAUGCAGAUGAAUGGCCAGGACAUCGGAGCUUAUACCGUCCAAACUGGAAAUGCAGUUCUGUGCCCCAUCCACACCUUCACCCAGCUGGGAGUGCCUCACGGUACCAGGCACAGCUGUGCAGUGGCAUCCACCAGCAGUCUGAUGCUGCCUGAGCAAGCCCAGAAAUAGAUGAUAUGCUGCAGCAGGAGAACCCAAAUGCUCAGAGGAAAGCAGCUUACUUUAUCGCUCUGCAACAAGGAGGAAAAAGUUUCCUUCUGGAAAGGGAAAAUUUAUCUUCAGUAUCUGGAAGAAGGCUCUGUUCAUAGGCAGAGCUAUAAAUAACAACUAAUUCAAGCUAGUGCUUACGCUGUGAUGUUUUUAAGCAGAGGCAGAUGAGGGAGAGAAUGACUAAUGAAAAUGUGGUCAGUAAUACUUAUUAUUGAGUUGCUUUCCUCACUCUGUCAGCUACUGCCGCAGGAGGCCCACCGCUCCAUGCACUGCUUCCUCUACUUUCCUUCGAAAGUAAGCUGCAUUGAGGCCAAUGUUCUCCUGCUUGUUCCCAGCUUGCAGUUAGGGAAGUGUGAAGAAAAUCCAUUCAUAAGAGAGAGGCAUC